rnacentral:rRNA from 1 species
UACGUAGGGUGCAAGCGUUAUCCGGAAUUAUUGGGCGUAAAGAGCUCGUAGGCGGUUUGUCGCGUCUGCUGUGAAAACCCGAGGCUCAACCUCGGGCCUGCAGUGGGUACGGGCAGACUAGAGUGCGGUAGGGGAGAUUGGAAUUCCUGGUGUAGCGGUGGAAUGCGCAGAUAUCAGGAGGAACACCGAUGGCGAAGGCAGAUCUCUGGGCCGUAACUGACGCUGAGGCACGAAAGCGUGGGGAGCAAACAGG